AACACAUGCAAGUCGAACGGCAGCGCGAGUGAAGCUUGCUUCACUUGGCGGCGAAUGGCGGACGGGUGAGUAAUGCGUAGGAAUCUACCUAUAGGAGGAGGACAACUUGGGGAAACUCAAGCUAAUACCGCAUAAUACCUACGGGUUAAAGCAUGGGACCUUCGGGCCAUGCGCCGAUAGAUGAGCCUACGUUAGAUUAGCUAGUUGGUAGGGUAAAAGCCCACCAAGGCGAUGAUCUAUAGCUGGUCUGAGAGGAUGAUCAGCCACACUGGGACUGAGACACGGCCCAGACUCCUACGGGAGGCAGCAGUGGGGAAUAUUGGACAAUGGGCGAAAGCCUGAUCCAGCAAUGCCGCGUGUGUGAUGACGGCCCUAGGGUUGUAAAGCUCUUUCGCAGGUGAAGAUAAUGACGGUAACCUGAGAAGAAGCCCCGGCUAACUUCGUGCCAGCAGCCGCCGUAA
rnacentral:rRNA from 1 species